rnacentral:rRNA from 1 species
CGAAAAUGUACCGGGGCUAAACAUAUUACCGAAGCUGUGGAUUGUCCGUAGGACAAUGGUAGGAGAGCGUUCUAAGGGCGUUGAAGCAUGAUCGCAAGGACAUGUGGAGCGCUUAGAAGUGAGAAUGCCGGUGUGAGUAGCGAAAGACGGGUGAGAAUCCCGUCCACCGAUUGACUAAGGUUUCCAGAGGAAGGCUCGUCCGCUCUGGGUUAGUCGGGUCCUAAGCUGAGGC